rnacentral:rRNA from 1 species
AGGGGACCCCGAGUGCGAGGGCAUAUAGUCCUCGCUUUUCUGGACUGUAGGGAGGUCCAAGAAUAAGGGCUGGGCAAGACCGGUGCCAGCCGCCGCGGUAAUACCGGCAGCACGAGUGAUGGCCGAUCUUAUUGGGCCUAAAGCGUCCGUAGCCGGCCAGACAAGUCCGUUGGGAAAUCGACGCGCUCAACGCGUCGGCGUCCAGCGGAAACUGUCUGGCUUGGGGCCGGAAGACCUGAGGGGUACGUCCGGGGUAGGAGUGAAAUCCCGUAAUCCCGGACGGACCGCCGGUGGCGAAAGCGCCUCGGGAAGACGGACCCGACGGUGAGGGACGAAAGCUAGGGUCUCGAACCGGAUUAGAUACCCGGGUAGUCCUAGCCGUAAACGAUGCCCGCUAGGUGUGGCGCAGGCUACGAGCCUGCGCUGUGCCGUAGGGAAGCCGAGAAGCAGGCCGCCUGGGAGGUACGGCCGCAAGGCUGAAACUUAAAGGAAUUGGCGGG